rnacentral:rRNA from 1 species
UACGGAGGAGGCAAGCGUUAUCCGGAAUUAUUGGGCGUAAAGCGUCCGCAGGUGGCACCUCAAGUCUGCUGUCAAAGACCGGGGCUUAACCCCAGAAAGGCAGUGGAAACUGAAGUGCUAGAGUGCAGUAGGGGUAGAGGGAAUUCCCGGUGUAGCGGUGAAAUGCGUAGAGAUCGGGAAGAACAUCGGUGGCGAAAGCGCUCUGCUGGACCUUAACUGACACUGAGGGACGAAAGCUAGGGGAGCGAAUGGG